AAUCAACGCUGGCGGCGUGCCUCAGACAUGCAAGUCGAACGCGAAAGGUUCCUUCGGGGACCGAGUAGAGUGGCGCACGGGUGAGUAACACGUAGGUAAUUUGCCUUUGGGUGGGGGAAUAACUCAGGGAAACUUGAGCUAAUACCGCAUAAUGCAGCGGCUCGACAUCGAGACAGUUGUUAAAGCGGGGGGAUUCGCAAGAACCUCGCGCCUAAAGAGAAGCCUGCGGCAGAUAGCUAGUUGGUAAGGUAAUGGCUUACCAAGGCGACGAUCUGUAACCGGCCUGAGAGGGCGGUCGGUCACACUGACACUGACAUACGGGUCAGACUCCUACGGGAGGCAGCAGUCGGGAAUUUUGGGCAAUGGGCGAAAGCCUGACCCAGCAACGCCGCGUGAAGGAUG
rnacentral:rRNA from 1 species